UACGUAGGGUGCAAGCGUUGUCCGGAAUUAUUGGGCGUAAAGAGCUCGUAGGCGGUUUGUCGCGUCGAAUGUGAAAACCCGGGGCUCAACCCCGGGCCUGCAUUCGAUACGGGCAGACUAGAGUUCGGUAGGGGAGUCUGGAAUUCUCGGUGUAGCGGUGAAAUGCGUAGAUAUCGAGAGGAACACCUGCGGCGAAGGCGGGUUGCUGGGCUGACACUGACGCUGAUGCGCGAAAGCCAGGGGAGCGAACGGG
rnacentral:rRNA from 1 species